GCCAGCAUUAUGUAGUGGUUUGAACAUUAGACUUUAACUCUGGAGACCAGGGUUCGAAUCCCCACUCAGCCA